AGUGAACGCUGGCGGUAGGCCUAACACAUGCAAGUCGAACGGCAGCUGAGUAUGAGCUUGCUGUUCCGGUGGGCGAGGGGCGGACGGGUGCGGUAUACAUCGGAAUCUACUCUUUCGUGGGGGGCAAAGUAGGGAUACUCACGCUACUAAUGCAUAGGAUCUACGGGUGAAAGCAGGCGCUCUUGGGAACUUGCGUGAUUGAUUAAGCCGAUGUCGGAUUAGCUAGCUGUCGGGGUAAAGGCCCACUAAGGCGACGAUCCGUUUCUGGUCUGAGAGAGUGAUCAGCCGCACGGAAACGAGGACACGGUCCAGACUCCUACGUGAGGCAGCAGUGGGGAUUAUUGGACAAUGGGCGGAAGGCUAGUCCAGGCAUACCGCGUGAGUGCAGAAGGGCUUCGGGUUGUAAAGCUCUUUUGUUGAGACAGAAUAGCAGUAUUUUAAUGCACCGCAGUUAUGACGGUACCCAAAGAAUAAGCACCGGCUAACUUCGUG
rnacentral:rRNA from 1 species